rnacentral:rRNA from 1 species
UACGAAGGGGGCUAGCGUUGUUCGGAAUUACUGGGCGUAAAGGGCGCGCAGGCGGUCCUUCAAGUCAGAUGUGAAAGCCCCGGGCUCAACCUGGGAACUGCAUUUGAGACUGAAGGACUAGAGUUCGGGAGAGGAUGGUGGAAUUCCCAGUGUAGAGGUGAAAUUCGUAGAUAUUCGCAAGAACACCAGUGGCGAAGGCGGCUCACUGGCCCGGUACUGACGCUGAGGUGCGAAAGCGUGGGGAGCAAACAGG